GGCUAACGCUGGCGGCGUGUCUUAGCCAUGCAAGUCGAGCGGACUUAUGGGGUAACUUAUAAGUCAGCGGCGGACGGCGGAGUAACACGUAGCUAACCUACCCUCUGGACGGGGAUAACCUACCGAAAGGUGGGCUAAUACCCGAUGUAGUCAUCCUGUAUAGGGGUGAUGAAAGGUGGGCUUCUGUUUACAAGCUCAUGCUGGAGGAGGGGGCUGCGGCCUAUCAGGUAGUUGGUAGGGUAAUAGCCUACCAAGCCGAUGACGGGUAGCCGGCCUGAGAGGGUGACCGGCCCGAGGGGCACUGAGAUACGGGUCCCACUCCUACGGGAGGCAGCAGGCUAGAAAUUUGGGCAAUGGGGGAAACCCUGACCCAGUGACGCCGCGUGCAGGAAGGAGCCCUUCGGGGUGUAAACUGCUGUCGUGUAGGGAGAAGGGUACUAAGGUGAACAAUCUUAGUACUUGACGGUACUACAGGAGGAAGCCCAGGCUAACCUCGUGCCAGCAGCCGACGGUAAAAGUAGCGUACU
rnacentral:rRNA from 1 species